AUUGAACGCUGGCGGCAUGCUUUACACAUGCAAGUCGAGCGGCAGCGCGGGGGCAACCCUGGCGGCGAGCGGCGAACGGGUGAGUAAUGCAUCGGAACGUAUCCUCGAGUGGAGGAUAACCCAGCGAAAGUUGGGCUAAUACCGCAUGAGCUCUGAGGAGGAAAGCGGGGGACCUGCGAGGGCCUCGCGCUGGAGGAGCGGCCGAUGUCCGAUUAGCUAGUUGGUGGGGUAAAGGCUUACCAAGGCGACGAUCGGUAGCUGGUCUGAGAGGAUGAUCAGCCACACUGGGACUGAGACACGGCCCAGACUCCUACGGGAGGCAGCAGUGGGGAAUUUUGGACAAUGGGGGCAACCCUGAUCCAGCCAUGCCGCGUGAGUGAAGAAGGCCUUCGGGUUGUAAAGCUCUUUCGGACGGAACGAAAUGGGCGGGACUAAUACUCCUGUCUGAUGACGGUACCGUAAGAAGAAGCACCGGCUAACUACGUG
rnacentral:rRNA from 1 species